CCUACAGUAUGAUAUUUAGAGCACUUACAAGUGUGCUCUCGGCCGGCAAUAGAAUGAAUGUUCAUGAUGUCACUGCGACAACUACAGACAUGUCAAUUCACUUAAGCACAGCAGCAGACAGCCUCCCCAGAGCGCAGCAGACUGAAGUCCAGGCCAGCUGGGAGGCAGAGAUGACGUCACUGGGAAUGAACUUGGCUUCCAAGUGCAGGUGCAGCCAGAUGAUCAUGGAACUAAAGCACCGAGGGCAGAUUAUAGACUGAAGCAAAUUGGCAUACAACAUCACAAUGGUUUCAACAAAGGUGUGUAACAUACCAACUUCAGCCCCAUAAAUAUUUGAGAGGCUAGUCAUUUAAAACUUUUUGAAGACAUCACCUGAAGAAGACAUCCUAUCCCCAAUUGAAA